GAUGAACGCUGGCGGCGUGCUUAACACAUGCAAGUCGAACGGAGUUUCUUGGAUAGAGGUUUCGGCCAAUUGAAUUGAAACUUAGUGGCGGACUGGUGAGUAACGCGUGAGGAACCUGCCUUUCAGAGGGGGACAACAGUUGGAAACGACUGCUAAUACCGCAUAAUGUUAUUUGGGGGCAUCCUUGGAUAACCGAAAGAUUUAUUGCUGAAAGAUGGUCUCGCGUCUGAUUAGCUAGAUGGCGGGUAACGGCCCACCAUGGCGACGAUCAGUAGCCGGUCUGAGAGGAUGAACGGCCACAUUGGGACUGAGAUACGGCCCAGACUCCUACGGGAGGCAGCAGUGGGGAAUAUUGGGCAAUGGGGGAAAGCCUGAUGCAGCGACGCCGCGUGAAGGAUGAAGUAUUUCGGUAUGUAAACUUCUAUCAGCAGGGAAGAAAAUGACGGUACCUGACUAAGAAGCCCGGNUAACACGUG
rnacentral:rRNA from 1 species